ACAGGCUUAACACAUGCAAGUCGAGGGGCAUCAGGAAGAAAGCUUGCUUUCUUUGCUGGCGACCGGCGCACGGGUGAGUAACACGUAUCCAACCUGCCCUUUACUCGGGGAUAGCCUUUCGAAAGAAAGAUUAAUACCCGAUAGCAUAAUGAUUCCGCAUGGUUUCAUUAUUAAAGGAUUCCGGUAAAGGAUGGGGAUGCGUUCCAUUAGGUUGUUGGUGAGGUAACGGCUCACCAAGCCUUCGAUGGAUAGGGGUUCUGAGAGGAAGGUCCCCCACAUUGGAACUGAGACACGGUCCAAACUCCUACGGGAGGCAGCAGUGAGGAAUAUUGGUCAAUGGGCGGUAGCCUGAACCAGCCAAGUAGCGUGAAGGAUGAAGGCUCUAUGGGUCGUAAACUUCUUUUAUAUAAGAAUAAAGUGCAGUAUGUAUACUGUUUUGUAUGUAUUAUAUGAAUAAGGAUCGGCUAACUCCGUGCCAGCAGCCGCGGUAAUACGGAGGAUCCGAGCGUUAUCCGGAUUUAUUGGGUUUAAAGGGAGCGUAGGUGGACUGGUAAGUCAGUUGUGAAAGUUUGCGGCUCAACCGUAAAAUUGCAGUUGAUACUGUCAGUCUUGAGUACAGUAGAGGUGGGCGGAAUUCGUGGUGUAGCGGUGAAAUGCUUAGAUAUCACGAAGAACUCCGAUUGCGAAGGCAGCUCACUGGACUGCAACUGACACUGAUGCUCGAAAGUGUGGGUAUCAAACAGGAUUAGAUACCCUGGUAGUCCACACAGUAAACGAUGAAUACUCGCUGUUUGCGAUAUACAGUAAGCGGCCAUGCGAAAGCAUUAAGUAUUCCACCUGGGGAGUACGCCGGCAACGGUGAAACUCAAAGGAAUUGACGGGGGCCCGCACAAGCGGAGGAACAUGUGGUUUAAUUCGAUGAUACGCGAGGAACCUUACCCGGGCUUAAAUUGCAGUGGAAUGAUGUGGAAACAUGUCAGUGAGCAAUCACCGCUGUGAAGGUGCUGCAUGGUUGUCGUCAGCUCGUGCCGUGAGGUGUCGGCUUAAGUGCCAUAACGAGCGCAACCCUUAUCUUCAGUUACUAACAGGUCAUGCUGAGGACUCUGGAGAGACUGCCGUCGUAAGAUGUGAGGAAGAUGGGGAUGACGUCAAAUCAGCACGGCCCUUACGUCCGGGGCUACACACGUGUUACAAUGGGGGGUACAGAAGGCAGCUAGCGGGUGACCGUAUGCUAAUCCCAAAAUCCUCUCUCAGUUCGGAUCGAAGUCUGCAACCCGACUUCGUGAAGCUGGAUUCGCUAGUAAUCGCGCAUCAGCCACGGCGCGGUGAAUACGUUCCCGGGCCUUGUACACACCGCCCGUCAAGCCAUGGGAGCCGGGGGUACCUGAAGUACGUAACAGCAAGGAUCGUCCUAGGGUAAAACUGGUGACUGGGGCUAAG
rnacentral:rRNA from 1 species